ensembl:lncRNA
AUUUCCCAGCAGAGUUACCUCAGGACACAAUAGCAGCCAUGGCUCUGAACCAAAACAAUCACUGGUACUCAUGGAAAAGCAGUGAGAGAGGCACACAUGGGGCACUUGGGAAGGCAGGAUGGGGCACAGAGGACAUGAAGAAUCAAGAGCGUAGGAGAUACCUACGCUGAAAAAGUCCUCAGGAAACUCCAGCGAAAUGCAGAUCUGCAGCAGCAAUGUAGGAACUACAUCUGACUCCAGAGAAGGUCUUGUAGUGGCUUCAUCCUUUGCCUUGAGACCUGAUCUGUGCUGGGGAUGCAGCAGAUCCUUGUCUGUCCCCAGGGGUGUGAGAAGCCACCAGGUGCAGGACAUGGGCCCAAUGCACACCACAGACAGCUCAGAGCUGCAACAGUGGGGCAGCUCCCAGGAGAGGACAUGAGCCUCCUCCCAAAGCAGCUCCUCACCUCGGGAACAGCACACCGAUGGUUAACAGGGCACAGCAGCUCACCAUGGUGUGUUGGUGCAGGGAUGCUGGAGUGCACACGAUGCUGCCCUGUGGAGGGACAGAGGAACUUCCCAAGGGACUGUGAAGCACUGUUGCUGGUUUUCCAGACUCAUCCCUGCAUGUCCUGAGCUUCAGGAACUGCAGCAGGCUGAGCUGGGGCAGAGCCGUGCCUGAGGUUUCCCAGUGACUGUGGACCUGUGGAGGGAUGCAGAGCCAGCUUUGCUGAAUGCCACGGCUCCCGUGGGCAGCUGGAGGAUGCAGCGCUCACCCCGGCGUGUCUCCUGCACGUGUGCCUGCAGCAGGGCCAGCUGGGCCAGCAGGGAAUGGCCUCUCUCCAGAGCAGUAAUGUUCCACACAGGAUUGUUUUCUCCAGGCCAGGAUUAUCGCAGCGAUCUGGGCAGCCAGCGCAGCUCCAAUCCCAUUACUCCAUUAGCAUGGGCGUUAUAAGGUGACACUCUGCAUCUGCUUGACAAAACACAGCUUCAGACCGAGCAUUUCUACCAAAAGGAGCACAGUUUUCGCUUGGAGAGGAUUUGCUAUUAUUAUUGGCUUGUAGCUGCUUAGAAAUAAACAGCAAUAAAGACUUCACCAAUUUACUCUCAGCAGAAAGAUAUUAACAAAAUAAGCUCCCAGCUUAGAAAAGGCUAAAGAGAGCCUUUUUUGGAGUGUCAAUGUUUGUGGAAGUGUUUUCUGAAGAAGCUGCAGUUUGAAUUGAGCAGCUGUUGGUGCCAUGUCCCCCAGGACAAGGCACUGGGGAUGGCCCAAGGGCAGUCCUGGCAGCACAGGGGUGUGGCAGAGCCCUGCUGCCCUGAAAAGGGCAAUUUUUUCCUGGCAGGUCGAUUUUCAGACACAGAGACAAGCCCCACUCCAUUUCAGCAGUCCAAUGCCAGCCUGGGAGGGGCGAACACGAUAAGGUGCGAAAGCUUGAAAUAAAGCUUAACCCCGAGAUUGAAAUGGAGUUGUUCAGCAUUAUUGGCUUGUAAAUUGUUCCUGUGAUGAGAUUUAGUAAAAGACUGAGAGGUCUUUUGGCAGUGGGAGAGUAUUUAUGAUGCUUUUGCACUGGUACACGAACACUUUUCUGUUUUGCCCGUGUUCACACUGCCCCAGAGGCCGUGUCCUGCUCCUCAGGGUGUUGUUAUACACACAGGUGCUAGCAGCCAGGUUUGGGCUUUUCCAGCCUCCUGCCUUUGGGUACCUUGUUGCAAAGGUAAAAAGGAAUCCUGUCCUGGCAAGGAGGAGUGGGGCCCAUGGUCCAU